AUGGAAUCAAUGAUGAAGGAACUAGGCCUUCGAGAGGAGGAUCUAGAUGAUGUGGUCUUUGAUGAGGAAGCUGCACCGCCUGAGGCUGCUCGAUGGAUGGCACUCGCUAGGGUUCAUUGCACCAAAACUUGUAGUCAGUACUGGUUUUUCAAGAAUAUGAGGGCGGCAUGGGAUCUGGCCCAAGAGGUGAAGUUCAAGCCCUUGGAGAACAAUCUUUACACAGUCCAAUUCUCUUGUCUUGGGGAUUGGGAGACGGUUACCAAGAUGGUCCAUGGCACUUCAGGGGGGAUGCAGUCAUCCUUAAACCCUAUGAUGGUAUAG
rnacentral:rRNA from 1 species